GACGAACGCUGGCGGCGUGCUUAACACAUGCAAGUCGAACGGAAAGGCCCCUUUGGGGGUACUCGAGUGGCGAACGGGUGAGUAACACGUGAGUAACCUGCCCUUGACUUCGGGAUAACUUCAGGAAACUGGGGCUAAUACCGGAUAGGAAUCCUUGCUGCAUGGUGGGGGUUGGAAAGCUUCGGCGGUUUUGGAUGGACUCGCGGCUUAUCAGCUUGUUGGUGGGGUAGUGGCUUACCAAGGCUUUGACGGGUAGCCGGCCUGAGAGGGCGACCGGCCACAUUGGGACUGAGAUAAGGCCCAGACUCCUACGGGAGGCAGCAGUGGGGAAUAUUGCACAAUGGGCGGAAGCCUGAUGCAGCAACGCCGCGUGCGGGAUGACGGCCUUCGGGUUGUAAACCGCUUUCAGCAGGGGCGAAGCUUGUGGUGACGGUACCUGCAGAAGAAGCACCGGCUAACUACGUG
rnacentral:rRNA from 1 species